rnacentral:ncRNA from 1 species
UUAGCUAGGGGUGCCUAAGUGGCUGAGAGAUAUUUAUAAAUAUUAACCCUUGUACCUGAUAUGGAUAAUACCAGCGGAGGAAAGCAAAGUUUAA